rnacentral:misc_RNA from 1 species
UUGGUCCUCCACGACGAGGGACUCAUCACAGUCAGGGUUGGCUGGCCUCCACAUGAACCCGAGCAGCCAUGGGACCUAGUGGAAGCUAUGACGAGGAUCCUUGGCCACCAUCCGGGCCCAGUAUCUUCGUUCCGCCUCCAUUCGUCGCUCUCGCCCGACGUGGACACGCUGGGCUGCUGGAUGGAUUUGCUCUCAGAGAAGGGAGUCGCAGUGCGCACGUACGUGACAGUUGAUCGCAUUAACUUCCAUCGUAUCCUCGCAGUCGCAUGCGGCAGACAACCUCGAUCCAUGUGA